GACGAACGCUGGCGGCGUGCCUAAUACAUGCAAGUCGAGCGCUUCUUUCCUCCCGAGUGCUUGCACUCAAUUGGAAAGAGGAGUGGCGGACGGGUGAGUAACACGUGGGUAACCUACCCAUCAGAGGGGGAUAACACUUGGAAACAGGUGCUAAUACCGCAUAACAGUUUAUGCCGCAUGGCAUAAGAGUGAAAGGCGCUUUCGGGUGUCGCUGAUGGAUGGACCCGCGGUGCAUUAGCUAGUUGGUGAGGUAACGGCUCACCAAGGCCACGAUGCAUAGCCGACCUGAGAGGGUGAUCGGCCACACUGGGACUGAGACACGGCCCAGACUCCUACGGGAGGCAGCAGUAGGGAAUCUUCGGCAAUGGACGAAAGUCUGACCGAGCAACGCCGCGUGAGUGAAGAAGGUUUUCGGAUCGUAAAACUCUGUUGUUAGAGAAGAACAAGGACGUUAGUAACUGAACGUCCCCUGACGGUAUCUAACCAGAAAGCCACGACUAACUACGUG
rnacentral:rRNA from 1 species